UACGUAGGGUGCAAGCGUUGUCCGGAAUUAUUGAGCGUAAAGAGCUCGUAGGCGGUCUGUCGCGUCGGCUGUGAAAACUCGGGGCUCAACCCCGAGCCUGCAGUCGAUACGGGCAGACUAGAGUGCUGUAGGGGAGACUGGAAUUCCUGGUGUAGCGGUGAAAUGCGCAGAUAUCAGGAGGAACACCGGUGGCGAAGGCGGGUCUCUGGGCAGUAACUGACGCUGACAGCGCGAAAGCUAGGGGAGCGAACGGG
rnacentral:rRNA from 1 species